CCGGCGCACGGGUGAGUAACACGUAUCCAACCUGCCGUCUACUCUUGGACAGCCUUCUGAAAGGAAGAUUAAUACAAGAUGGCAUCAUGAGUCCGCAUGUCCACAUGAUUAAAGGUAUUCCGGUAGACGAUGGGGAUGCGUUCCAUUAGAUAGUAGGCGGGGUAACGGCCCACCUAGUCUUCGAUGGAUAGGGGUUCUGAGAGGAAGGUCCCCCACAUUGGAACUGAGACACGGUCCAAACUCCUACGGAAGGCAGCAG
rnacentral:rRNA from 1 species